rnacentral:rRNA from 1 species
AUACGGAGGGUGCAAGCGUUACUCGGAAUCACUGGGCGUAAAGCGCGCGCAGGCGGUCUUUUAAGUUGGAUGUGAAAGCCUACGGCUCAACCGUAGAACUGCAUCCAAAACUAUUAGACUAGAGUGUGGGAGAGGAAGAUGGAAUUAGUUGUGUAGGGGUAAAAUCCGUAGAGAUAACUAGGAAUACCAAAAGCGAAGGCGAUCUUCUGGAACACUACUGACGCUGAGGCGCGAAAGCGUGGGGAGCAAACAGGAUUAGAUACCCUAGUAGUCC